CCUACGGGUGGCAGCAGUCGAGAAUCAUUCACAAUGGGGGAAACCCUGAUGGUGCGACGCCGCGUGGGGGAAUGAAGGUCUUCGGAUUGUAAACCCCUGUCAUGUGGGAGCAAAUUAAAAAGAUAGUACCACAAGAGGAAGAGACGGCUAACUCUGUGCCAGCAGCCGCGGUAAUACAGAGGUCUCAAGCGUUGUUCGGAAUCACUGGGCGUAAAGGGUGUGUAGGCUGUUUCGUAAGUCGGGUGUGAAAGGCGCGGGCUCAACCCGCGGACGGCACCUGAUACUGCGAGACUAGAGUAAUGGAGGGGGAACCGGAAUUCUCGGUGUAGCAGUGAAAUGCGUAGAUAUCGAGAGGAACACUCGUGGCGAAGGCGGGUUCCUGGACAUUAACUGACGCUGAGGCACGAAGGCCAGGGGAGCGAAAGGGAUUAGAUACCCGAGUAGUC
rnacentral:rRNA from 1 species